rnacentral:misc_RNA from 1 species
GUGUGCUGUGUGCCUCUUGCUAGCUAAGCAAGGAGAUAGCCGGAGCCAUGGCGACCAUCGCCGCUGCCGCCGCCGCCCGCACCGCCGUCGUUGGCCGGCCGUCAGGGGUGGCUCAGCUGAGAGCGAGGAGGGGUGAGAGGGUGAGGUGCGGCUACUCCUCCAGGGACGGCAAGGAGGCGACGCCCGCCGCCGCCGUGAAAGGCGCGAC